AUUGAACGCUGGCGGCGUGCUUAACACAUGCAAGUCGAGCGGCGGCGGGCCCGCAAGGGUGCCGGCGAGCGGCGGACGGGUGAGCAAUACAUAGGAAUCUGCCUCAGAGCGGGGGAUAGCCAGGGGAAACCCUGAUUAAUACCGCAUGACGUCGAGAGACCAAAGUGGGGGACCGUAAGGCCCCACACUCUGAGAUGAGCCUAUGUCGGAUUAGCUAGUUGGCGGGGUAACGGCCCACCAAGGCGACGAUCCGUAGCUGGUCUGAGAGGAUGAUCAGCCACACCGGAACUGAGACACGGUCCGGACUCCUACGGGAGGCAGCAGUGGGGAAUAUUGGACAAUGGGCGAAAGCCUGAUCCAGCGACGCCGCGUGGGUGAAGAAGGCCUGG
rnacentral:rRNA from 1 species